GCCGAAAUAGCUCAGUUGGGAGAGCGUUAGACUGAAGAUCUAAAGGUCCCUGGUUCGAUCCCGGGUUUCGGCAGGGCUUUUGCUGACACAGCCCAGGACAGAACAGGUUUCUGCUCCCUUGCGUAGUCUCUCCUGUGCCCCCGGGCGCGCCUGCACAGGGGCCCUGCGGCUCUCUUAGCGCGCAUGCCCACCCCCCGCGCCUGCGCAGAGGCUUGGUGGAUGGAUGGGUGGGUGUCUAUUAGCGCGUGUACCCUCUCCCGCGCGUGCGCAGCGGCAGUGCGGGUCUCUCAGCGCCUGUGCCCUCCUCCGCGCGUGCGCACCGGCCAUGCGGAUCUCAGCGCGCGCCCCCGGGAGGCGAAGGUGCUUCCAUUCAGCACUUGGAGGGUAGUGCGGGGUUGGGCCUCGUCGCGAAGCCCCGAGGGGUGGAGAGCCCCUCACCCGGUCUGAGACCGCACACUAAGCUCCUUAGUGUUUGUUCCCAGUGCCGUCAGCUCGCAGGGCUGGCAAGUUUUUCUCGUAGGUGACAGACGUGCCGACAGCCUUAAAAACGUUUGUCUAUACAGCCAGACCCGAAAGCCAGGGCCCCGUCGGCGGGUCAGAAAUCUGGUGAAGGAUGGUUCCCAGCCGGAGAUGUGACUCAUAAGCACGUGCCUCUGAAAGAGUGCUUGGAACCUGUUUUCUCACCGCUCCUUCAAUAAACGGGGCGUGAACGAUUGCUUAGGGCAAAACAAUGCGCAGUCACCGCCGAGAGCAUUACUGUCAGGACUGACGACGGGGGUGCGGUUUUCUUGGUUAUGGGUCUACUGAUGUUCCGGAUAUAAAAGCGUUCAUCGAGAGCCUGCCGCUCUCCAGCCUUUAAGCAAACUUAGGCUGCAAAGACCCAGUCCUGGUCCUCAGUGCGGCGACAAGACACGCUACCAGAAGCACCCAAUCAAUCGCCUUGACGGUGGGAAACUGGCUUUUGCAGCGUUACCCCGCCGACACCAGAAGGCUGAGGAGGAUGUGAAGGCCUUCGGUCCUUUGGGAGCCCCGCCAUCCCCAGUUUUCGUGGACUUGCAGCCUGCUGGAAUCUCCUGGUUUAUUCAGACAGGCCCACGGACCCUCAGAUUCAGAACAUGGCCCCUUGUACUGUGGCUGCGUCCUGUCCCUGAGUGCUGACCUUGGGCAGAGGUAGUAAAGGGACCAGAGCAGGGUCUGAGGGUUUGGUAAUCACAACUGAUGGUGGCUUGGAGGCUUCACCAAGUCCAGAGAAUAUGUCCCUGCCCAGUGCUUUCCAAGCUCUUUUCACUGAAGCACCUGCUAAUAUCUAUGUUUUAUUUCCAUCAAGACCACUAUACUCAAGUACAUAUCCAAAAUAAAGGUUUGAGGAAACAGUGCUUUUUUAUUAUUUGAAGAAUUCUGUGCUUUUUUUAUGCUCCCCAAGACUAUUCAAUUUCAUUAGCAACAACAACAAAAAAUGCAUGUGCAGACCUACUGAUGACAGCAUACCCCUUAGAGUUUCUGCAGUGUGAAAAACACUGACCUGGAGCAGGGCGCCCAAAGGGUGGUGGGACACGGGCCGCUCACACCAGGACCACCCGGAGGUGGGUGUGGGCUCCUGGUAUCUAUGACAACUCUCGAAUCUCCUGGAGAUGGUGCCUGGGACUUGGCAUUUUAACUACAUGGCUAGGUGAUUCUAUGCCCACUGAGGUUUGGGAACCACUGGCCCGGGAGCACAUAGGCUGCUCCUAGCAGAGGUUUCCAACUGAUCUGUGGAGCCCUGAGGACUAGAGUGGAUGCAUCUCUGGGAGACAUCUACAGACUGCUCCUCUUGAUCUGUGUAAGAAUUCAUGAGCAAAGUCGCUUCUGCUUCUCAAAGAAAGAUCUGAAAUUUGGGGGAAAGAAAAUGCAUGUGAUAGGGUUUUGAGGCUUCGUCUCCGGAAAUAAAAAUCUCAGUUAAGUUCUGUCUGCCAAAGGGAGAAUCAUGGAAAGGGAAUGGCUCCCUUUAGUGGUAAGGAAACAUUAUAGAACAUUUUGCUUCGUAGACACUGGUCUUAAUUCAAGAGGAGCCUCUUUAGAAAUACAGCUUCCCAAUGUGGGAGAUAUUGAACAGUUUAGCAAAAACUUAAGUAUCUUGUAUUAGAAUCCAUAUGUUGAAAGAUUGUUGUCAAACAAGACAUGCUUAUCACCUUGAAGGAGAAGAAACAUAUUUUUUUGGAAAUGGAUUUUAAUGUAUACCACUUGUCUCUAAAGUACCAUAGUCUUUUUUUAAAAAGAUUUUAUUUAUUUAUUUAGAGAGAGAGAGCGAGCUGGGGGAGGGGCAGGUGGAGAGAGAGAAUUUCAAGCAGACUCCAUGCUCAGUGUGGAGCUGGACAUGGGGCUUGAUCUCAGUAUCCUGAGAUCAUGACCUGAGCUGAAAUCAAGAGUUGGACACUUAACCGAGCCACCCAGGUGUCCCUAAAGUAUCAUAGUCUUAGGGUGCCUGGCUGGCUCAAUUGGAAGAGUAUGCAACUCUUGAUCUCCGGGUUGUGAGUGCGAGUCCCAGGUUGGGUUUAGAGAUUAUUUAAAUAAAUAAAUAAAUCUUAAAAAAAAAAAAAUACCAUAGCCUUUUGGAACACUGUAAUUAAUUGUCUCUUACAAGUGCGUGUGUGUGUAUGUGUGUGUUUUAAAAUGAACUACAUGUUAUAUAUUUUUUCCUUGUACUAAGCAGUCUAUAUGUAGGCACACAUAUGUGUAUAUAAGGACACACAUACACACAUAAACAUAUUUUUUUGUCUUGUGAAUCCUCAAUUCAUUAUUUGCCUCUAGAAAGUAAAGACUAAAUGCUAAAAAAAAGUAUAAGGAAGGGAAGUUUAAUUUUUAAGAAAAGCAUGACUUUUUUGUAAUAAAAAAUGAUUUGUAAGUGGGGUGGGAGGGUGAGCAAAAUAGGUGAAGGGGAUUAAGAGUUACAAACUUCCAGUUAUAGAAUGAAUAAGUCACUGAGAUGAAAAGUACAGUGUAGGGAGUACAGUCAAUAAUGUUGUAAUAACUUCACAUGGUGACAGGUGGUGAGUACACCUAUUGUGAUGAGCAUUGUUUAAUGUACAGAAUUGUGGAAUCACUAUGCGGUGCACCUGAAACUAAUAUAACAUUGUAUAUCAAACAUACUUAAAUAAUAAAAAUUUUUAAAAAUGAUUUACAAGGAAGAAAAUAUCUAUUACUGUUGACAAAAGAGCAUACUGGUUAGGGCAGAAUGUGAUUCUGUAUUCUGGUUGAAAGAGAAUUUUGAAUUGUUCUUGCUGUUUUUGAUACCUGAGUAAUUAGAUAUAAAAGUCGAGGCUGAAGUCAAAAGUGAGGUGAAUGAUUUUAAUUCUAGGCAGGAAGUCAUAACCACCCCAAAGAAGCAAAUGCAGAUUUUCAAAAGAUCUUCAAACUUUAGUAAAGCACCCACGAGUCCAGGAUCUGGCAUAAGCAAAUGUGAAUUUUGUUAAUAAUGUCUGCCUUGCUUUGCCAUACUGAUAUGUUCCAUCCUUCCAUACCUGGGUCUUUCGGGCUACCUUUGACAGCUUGGGCUUGGACUCAUCCCUCACAUCCACCCACCGCAGCUUUUCUGUUCUACAUCUGCUGUACUCUAGGAGGACACUUGGUGCCUUUGACUAAUCCAAUAAACCAUCUGAAAUUAAUCCCCAGAGAGGUACCACUGAGAAUAGAUUCAGAGAUGUCCCCUCUCCACCAUCAGCACCAGCAGAUUGUUAUGGCCAUCCAGAGAUGUAUCUAACUUCCGAAGUGGUGGCAUUCUAUCUAACUUGUCCCUUCUGAACCGUGUCUAACUAAUGAAAUAUUCCAAGAGUAGGGAUUUGGGGCCAGCACCAGGGGAGGAACACUAGGCAGUGAUAGAGAUGUUUGGGAUUGGCUAUAUUUUGAAGCAGGUUUCCCUUGCUUGUGUUUUUCUCAGAAUCAGGCUAUGUACAUGGCUCUUUACUUCCCUUACUUCACAUAUCCAUCAGAGAUUGCAUGGGAAAUAAGACUGGGAUCAAAAUGCAAUCCAAAUUUUAGUUGACUACCAAUUUCAUCUAUUUUCUUGACAAAAAAAUAGGCUGCCAGGAGACCAACUCAAAUAUGAUAUUGUUUUCUAUACUCUUAAAGAGGAGGCCUAGAUAAUGAAAAGUCAUUGAUUCUUCAG